AAGGAUUUAAGUUAAGCAAACUAGUAGCCUUCAAAGCUGCAAAUAAACCAAAAUUUAAGCCUUA
rnacentral:tRNA from 2 species